AAGCUGCGAUAAGUAAUGUGAAUUGCAGAACUCAGUGAAUCAUCGAGUCUUCGAACGCACAUUGCGCCCCCUGGUACUCCGGGGGGCACGCCUGUCCGAGCGUCGUCCGACGACCCCUUCGGGCCCCCCCCCCGUGAUCCCGGUCCCCGGGUCCGGUGGGGCCCGGCGUUGGGCCUCUUGAACGCCCCCGUGUCGGGCGGGCCCGCAAGUCACCGACCGGUCGUCCCCGAGGGCCCCGAGCGCAGCGGCUGUCCCAGGCUCGACGAGGCCCCCGCGGGACGCCCACCGGCGUGAUCCCCCCGUCCCCCAGACGCACGUUUGACCUCGGAUCAGGCGGGGUUACCCGCUGAACUUAAGC
rnacentral:misc_RNA from 1 species